AAAGAACUGCAAAACGGUAAUUUU
rnacentral:siRNA from 1 species